rnacentral:rRNA from 1 species
ACUAGUUGAUCCUGCUAGUAACAUAUGCUUAUCUCGGAGAUUAAGCCAUGCAUGUCUAAGUAUAAGUUAUAUAUGGCGAAACUGCGAAUGGCUCAUUAAAUCAGUUAUAAUCUAUUUGAUAAUGUUUUUAUACGGAUAACCGUGGGAAACCAGAGCUAAUACGUGCACUAAAGGCCGGAAGGCUGUAUUUAUUAGUUAUAAACCAAUGGCUUCGGCCUUUGUGAUGAUUCAUAAUAACUGAUCGAAGCGAACUGGUGUUCGCUAAAUCUUUCUAGUUUCUGCCCUAUCAGCUUUCGAUGGUAGUGUAUUGGACUACCAUGGCUAUCACGGGUAACGGAGAAUUAGGGUUCGAUUCCGGAGAGGGAGCCUGAGAAACGGCUACCACAUCCACGGUAGGCAGCAGGCGCGUAAAUUACCCAAUCCUGACUCAGGGAGGUAGUCACGAGAAAUCUUAGAUCGGCCCAAGUUGGCUGAAUACAUGAUGGAUUAAAUAUAGACCAUUUUUUGAAAUCAAUUGGAGGGCAAGUCUCGGUGCCAGCAGCCGCGGUAACUCCAGCUCCAAUAGUGUAUAUUAACGUUGCUGCAGUUAAAAAGCUCGUAGUUGAAUUUCUGGGGGGCUGUCUUUCCUAAGGGAUCGUACGGCUACCUCAUCCGCGCCGGAAGGCACUACAGUCUUACUUAGUGUUGGAUGCGUGUUUUACUUUGAAGAAAUUAGAGUGUUCCAGGCAGGCUUUGCUUGAAUACAUCAGCAUGGAAUAAUGGAAUAGGACAGGUCAUUUUUAUUGGUUAUAUGACUUGUAAUGAUUAACAGGGACAGUUGGGGGCGUUUGUAUUCAAUAGUCAGAGGUGAAAUUCUUGGAUUUGUUGAAGACAAACUAAUGCGAAAGCAUUCGCCAAGGAUGUUUUCAUUAAUCAAGAACGAAAGUUAGGGGAUCAAAGACGAUUAGAUACCGUCGUAGUCCUAACCAUAAACUAUACCGACUAGGGAUUGGCAAGGGGAGUGACUCUUGUCAGCACCUAAUGAGAAAUCAAAGUCUUUGGGUUCUGGGGGGAGUAUGGUCGCAAGGCUGAAACUUAAAGGAAUUGACGGAAGGGCACCACCAGGAGUGGAGCCUGCGGCUUAAUUUGACUCAACACGGGGAAACUUACCAGGGCAAGACCUGAGUAUGAUUGACAGAUUGAUAGCUUUUUCUUGAUAACGGGGAUGGUGGUGCAUGGCCGUUCUUAGUUGGUGGAGUGAUUUGUCCGGUUAAUUCCCUUAACAAACGAGACCUUAACCUGCUAAACUAGGAGCCGUUAUUUCUAGCGGUAUCCUUCUUAGAGGGACUAUGUGAUUU